rnacentral:rRNA from 1 species
UACGAAGGGUGCAAACGUUGCUCGGAAUCAUUGGGCGUAAAGGGUGUGUAGGCGGUUAUUUAAGUUUGGUGUGAAAUCUCCCGGCUCAACCGGGAGGGUGCGCCGAAUACUGAAUGACUUGGAGUGCGGGAGAGGAAAGUGGAAUUCCUGGUGUAGCGGUGAAAUGCGUAGAUAUCAGGAGGAACACCGGUGGUGUAGACGGCUUUCUGGACCGUAACUGACGCUGAGACACGAAAGCGUGGGUAGCAAACAGG